CCUGGCUCAGGACGAACGCUGGCGGCGCGCCUAACACAUGCAAGUCGAACGAGCGAGAGAGAGCUUGCUUUCUCGAGCGAGUGGCGAACGGGUGAGUAACGCGUGAGGAACCUGCCUCAAAGAGGGGGACAACAGUUGGAAACGACUGCUAAUACCGCAUAAGCCCACAGCUCGGCAUCGAGCAGAGGGAAAAGGAGCAAUCCGCUUUGAGAUGGCCUCGCGUCCGAUUAGCUAGUUGGUGAGGUAACGGCCCACCAAGGCGACGAUCGGUAGCCGGACUGAGAGGUUGAACGGCCACAUUGGGACUGAGACACGGCCCAGACUCCUACGGGAGGCAGCAGUGGGGAAUAUUGCACAAUGGGGGAAACCCUGAUGCAGCGACGCCGCGUGGAGGAAGAAGGUCUUCGGAUUGUAAACUCCUGUUGUUGAGGAAGAUAAUGACGGUACUCAACAAGGAAGUGACGGCUAACUACGUGCCAGCAGCCGCGGUAAAACGUAGGUCACAAGCGUUGUCCGGAAUUACUGGGUGUAAAGGGAGCGCAGGCGGGGAGGCAAGUUGGAAGUGAAAUCCAUGGGCUCAACCCAUGAACUGCUUUCAAAACUGUUUUUCUUGAGUAGUGCAGAGGUAGGCGGAAUCCCCGGUGUAGCGGUGGAAUGCGUAGAUAUCGGGAGGAACACCAGUGGCGAAGGCGGCCUACUGGGCACCAACUGACGCUGAGGCUCGAAAGUGUGGGUAGCAAACAGGAUUAGAUACCCUGGUAGUCCACACUGUAAACGAUGAUUACUAGGUGUUGGAGGAUUGACCCCUUCAGUGCCGCAGUUAACACAAUAAGUAAUCCACCUGGGGAGUACGACCGCAAGGUUGAAACUCAAAGGAAUUGACGGGGGCCCGCACAAGCAGUGGAGUAUGUGGUUUAAUUCGACGCAACGCGAAGAACCUUACCAAGUCUUGACAUCCUGCGACGCACAUAGAAAUAUGUGUUUCCUUCGGGACGCAGAGACAGGUGGUGCAUGGUUGUCGUCAGCUCGUGUCGUGAGAUGUUGGGUUAAGUCCCGCAACGAGCGCAACCCUUAUGGUCAGUUACUACGCAAGAGGACUCUGGCCAGACUGCCGUUGACAAAACGGAGGAAGGUGGGGAUGACGUCAAAUCAUCAUGCCCUUUAUGACUUGGGCUACACACGUACUACAAUGGCGUUAAACAAAGAGAAGCAAGACCGCGAGGUGGAGCAAAACUCAGAAACAACGUCUCAGUUCGGACUGCAGGCUGCAACUCGCCUGCACGAAGUCGGAAUUGCUAGUAAUCGCAGAUCAGCAUGCUGCGGUGAAUACGUUCCCGGGCCCUUGACACACCGCCCGUCA
rnacentral:rRNA from 1 species